rnacentral:rRNA from 1 species
UACAGAGGGGGCAAGCGUUAUUCGGAAUUAUUGGGCGUAAAGGGCGCGUAGGCGGCUUGGCAAGUGGAAGGUGAAAUCCCUCGGCUUAACCGAGGAACUGCCCUCCAAACUGCUUCGCUUGAGACCGGGAGAGGUGAGUGGAAUUCCCAGUGUAGCGGUGAAAUGCGUAGAUAUUGGGAGGAACACCAGUGGCGAAGGCGGCUCACUGGACCGGUACUGACGCUGAUGCGUGAAAGCGUGGGGAGCAAACGGG